GGCGGGUGCGGGGCGCGCGUGCACGUGUGCGUGUGCCUGCCGGGUUGCUGCGCCGCGGGCUGCGAGUGCUUGUGACCCGCCGCACCCUCACCCCCGGGCGCGCCAUCCCUGCUCCGCCGCCAGCGAGGGAGCCCCGGAGCCUAAGACGCCCGGACCCGCCGCCUCGCAGACCCACCCUUGCCCCUGCGCCUCGUCAUCCGCCCGCCCCAGCCAGCCCGCGCAGGGUCCGCGGCCCGCUUUUCCGCGAGAAGCCCCCUGUGGUCUUUCCUCGUACCCGGGGACUCGGACCGAGAAGCCGACUGAGCGAGGUCGCCGCCCGGCCUCACGGACACAGAGCGACUCUGCACCUUUCGCCUCCAGGAGCUGAAAACAUUUUGUCACUUGUGCAGUGUACUCACCAGUGCCCCCAACAUCUUCUCCCCCGAAAGCGCUUUCAGAUUCGCGCCGAGAUGGGGCGACGCGGCGGCUCUUGAGCGGAAUAACCCGAAGGGCCACGCAAACUGGGGCUUCCAGCCGCGAGCAUGCGGCGGGGCGCCCAGGGCCUGGGGUCGCGCGCUCAGGGCCUGUGCUGCGCCACGCAGGAGGAGGAGAGGGCUGGCCCUGCCGGGCGCGGGUGCGGGCCCGACUGGCUGAAGGAGGAGUGGGGACUGGCUUGGAAGUCUCCGAAGCAGAAAAGUGGGGCCGACAGGAUGGAAUUGGGGGAGGCCGAUUUUGGCUCAGAGAGAUUUCUCUAUUAAGGAAAGCAGUCCAAGAAUAGGCCCCCUGGAAGAGGAAUGCGCUCAAACCCAGAGGGAUUCUCCUUAGAGCUACCUCUUGAGAUUCUGUACUUCGAGGAAAUUAGAGGUUUUUUUAAAUCUCUAUUUUUAAUAAGGUGGGAGGAGGCUGUUGCUCCUUUCUCCUCAACAACAUGAAAUGAUCCUGUGCCUCUAUCCAACAACUCUACAACAAAGCACUGAAUACUUCCCUGACUGGCACUUUCAUGGCUGUUCAUGGGCAUCUCUUGGUCUAUGACGACGAUGUUGGAGAGUUCCUACUCCGUGAUAACUCAGUUCUAAGUGCAAGCAGUCACGUGAAAUGAGCCUGAUAGUCUGCGAAUGAAGAAACUAAAACGAACUAUAUUAUAUACUUCAUAACACAAGACAACGUGCUCGUUUGUUCAUUCUGCAAGUAAAUGCUUAAUGCUUCCUAGGUGGCAGGCUAAAGAAUAUGAUCAUUUUAAAGCAGUCAUGCUUUGAAAAUAAACAACCCAUCCCAGCUGUAAGCUUUUUGAAAGUGUACAAAAUAUGUAAUUGAUGACUCCCUAAAUGGUUUGCAGCUUUGGUAUUUGACUGAAUUGUAAACCAUUAGUUAAACUACAUUUCAGUUAUGCUUUGUAGGAAAAACACUUUCCUAUGCAUUGAAUGUUCUAUAACUAAGGAGCUUAGUAAUCUACUGCUAAAAAUCUCACUGAAAUCUCCAGUUUAAGCGAUUUAAGCAAUUUACAGCUCUUGGCAAAUAUUUGUUUUGGGUUAUAAAACACUUUUUUUCUGACUAGUAAAUUGUUCAUGUUCUUUGUUUCCAGUAAAAUGGGAAUAAAGGUUUCAGUACUCAAAUACUGCUUAUUUUUUAUUGGAAAAAAGGAAGCGUGGGAGGCUUUUAAGAGAGUAUCAUUAUGAGGGUUUCAUAGAAAUACUCAGUCUGUCUCAUUUCAGCAUCCAUUCCUAUAUGAGGUGACAUGGUACCAGACUUAGUUCUGUAUGUUAUUCAACAAAGUAUUUUCCACUGUCUGGUAACAUGGCAGCUUCUCUCUUCCUCACCACCCCCCCGGAUUACCUUGGAAGUGGGAAGGAAAAUAUUUACUUUCCAGCAGUUUUCAUUUUGUGAAAGAUCACAAAUGACUGAAAAUGCUCACCUAUUUGGCAGAACAAAUUUGAUAUUUGUGAGACUAAUCAGUUGAGAGUCAUAAAUAGGUGCAAAUGUUUAUGAGUUCCCCUCAAAUUUCAACAUAUUUGUGAAGAUGCAAAAUAAGCAUGUUAGUAAGUUCAAACCUAAGACAUACAAGUGAAAAAAAGGGAACAACAUACUCAAAAGCAGGCUCAUCGUGUUCCCUUAAAACCAACAUAUCUGUAAUGUGGCCACGCAAGCUUCAUUUGAAGCCUCUCCAGUCCCUCAUCCCCUGGUUUACUCAGCACACCCAAUACCAGCACAGCUGCAAGACUGCUUAGCAUGGGGCAAGCUGUUGGGGAAAAUCUUUUAAAUCAUCCUUAGGCACCGUAACUCCAAAAGCCGGUGUGUGGUUGGCUCCUUCCAUACUAAUAAUCUUGGGUUACUGAUGUUCGUAUCUACCCAAACCUCUUUCUCUUCCUUAAAGAGCUGUCCUUGAGGCCGGGCAUGGUGGCUCACGCCUGUAAUCCCAGCACUUUGGGAGGCUUAGGCGGGCGGAUAACGAGGUCAGGAGUUCGAGAUCAGCCCGCCCAACAUGGUGAAACCGGGUCUCUACUAAAAAAAAAUACAAAAAGCCGGGUGUGGUAGCGCAUGCCUGUAAUCCCAGCUACUCAGGAGGCUGAGGCAGAAGAAUCGCUUGGACCCGGGAGGUGGAGGUUGCAUUGAGCCGAGAUUGCACCACUGCACUCCAGCCUGGGCAACAGAGCUAGACUUCGUCUCAAAAAAAAAAAAAAAAAAAAACUGUGCUUGGAUGUUCCUACUGAUAGCGCUCUCAUUGCUGUCACCUUGCUGGUCACUCCCUUGAUUCACUGAUUUUAGCACCUGGGUCUACCACUAUUCCUGCUGAUCAUUCCUGGCACCUUAACCUCCACAGAGACAAUUUAACAUGCUGAUUUCCAAGUGACUACGUUAGCCCCAAUUGUCUUUAUUUCCCAUCUCAUCUCAACUGUCAAGUCAUAGGGUCAUAUCCAAGGUUUCGUCAUCACCAAUAACUGCAAUACAGCCAAACAUCUGAUUUCAAAUAUCCUAUUCCUUGACAUAGGUGCCUUCUGUUUUCGCCCACUCCUGCAGUUUUCUGCCGUCAUCCAGCCUUCUCCCACUUCUCACUAACCGUUCCACCCUUGAGUCCUUAUGUCCUUUCUUGUCUAGUUUAGAUUCACAGUUCGACACUGUCGCCACGCCCUUGCAAACACCCUUAAUCCCUUUCUCCUUUUUUCUCUGUUGUAAUUGCCUAGAAUCCCAACUCUUAAAAAUCAUACAACUGAGCUGAGUAGACUCAGUUCUGAGUUAUGACCACAAAUCUCAGAUUAACAUUCAACAUAAGUAUCGUAUUACACCUCUGCAGUUAUGGUCUUCUUCCAGUAUCACUAAUCUACAUAUUCUCUUUCCUCAAGUCUCUACUGCCCAAUUCGUUCCUCACACCUUCCACAGACCACAGAUGAGAGCUUUUACAUUUCUUCCAACCAGCAAAUGCACUGACUUACUCCCACCCAGUCUGAUGUCUCCCACCUUCUUUCCUGAUGCAUUUGAUAAACCCUUUCUUGACCCCAGGUCCCACUUGACUCCCCUUUACAGCAAAGGUUCUGAAUUUUUAUUUUGUUUUAUUUUUGAGGUGAAGUUUAACUCAUUGCCCAGGCUGGAGUGCAGUGGUGUGAUCUCGGCUCACUGCAACCCCUGCCUCCCGGGUUAAAGCUAUUCUCCUGCCUCAGCCUCUCGAGUAACUGGGAAUAUAGACACGUGCCACCAUGCUGGGCUAAUUUUUGAAUUUUUAGUAGAGACAGGGAGGGUUUCACCAUGUUGACUGGGCUGGUCUCAAACUCCUGACCUCAGGCGAUCCACCGGCCUUGGCCUCCCAAAGUGCUGGGAUUACAGGAGUGAGUCACCACGUCCGGCCUUGAUGAGCAUUCUUUUUCUAUCCUUUCUUUUUCAACCUAUCUGUGCCUUUAGACAGUCACAUGUCUUUUACCAACAGGGAUGCAUUCUGAGAAAUGUAAGGUGAUUUCGUUGCUGUGUGAACACCCUAGGUUGUAUUUAAACUGAGUAUAGCCUACUAUACAACUCGGCUCUGUGGGGUGUAGUUUAGGCUACAACACAUCUAGGCUACAAACUUGUACAGCAUGUUACUGUACUGCAUAAUGUAGGCAAUUGUAACACAAUAGUAAGUAUUUGUGUAUCUAAAUAUAGAAAAGGUACAGUAAAAAUUUGGUAUUAUAAUCGUAUGGGGCCACCAUCAUAUAUGUGGUCUGUUUUUGACUGAAAUGAUGUCAUGUGGUGCAGGACUGCAUUUAAAAUGUGUCUCUUGUAAGUAACAUAUAGUUGAGUCUUGUUUUUUAAUAGUCUGAUAAUCUUUGUCACUUAACUGGAAUAUUCUAUUUACAUUUGCUGUAUUUUUAAACAUAACUAGCAUUUACUAAUUAUUAAUGUAAUUGAGUUUGCAUUUUUAUAAUUACUAAUGUAACGUAAUUACUAAUAUAAAUAGGUUUAAGUCC
rnacentral:lncRNA from 10 species